rnacentral:rRNA from 1 species
CAGUCGCCGCGGUAAAACGGAGGGCGCGAGCGUUACCCGGAUUUACUGGGCGUAAAGGGCGUGUAGGCGGCCUGGGGCGUCCCAUGUGAAAGGCCACGGCUCAACCGUGGAGGAGCGUGGGAUACGCUCAGGCUAGAGGGUGGGAGAGGGUGGUGGAAUUCCCGGAGUAGCGGUGAAAUGCGCAGAUACCGGGAGGAACGCCGAUGGCGAAGGCAGCCACCUGGUCCACUUCUGACGCUGAGGCGCGAAAGCGUGGGGAGCAAACCGGAUUAGAUACCCGAGUAGUCCCUGUCUCUUAUAC